rnacentral:rRNA from 1 species
AACCUGCCAAGAGAUCGGGAUAACACCUGGAAACAGAUGCUAAUACCGGAUAACAACAGAUGAUGCCUAUCAACUGUUUAAAAGAUGGUUCUGCUAUCACUCUUGGAUGGACCUGCGGUGCAUUAGCUAGUUGGUAGGGUAACGGCCUACCAAGGCGAUGAUGCAUAGCCGAGUUGAGAGACUGAUCGGCCACAUUGGGACUGAGACACGGCCCAAACUCCUACGGGAGGCAGCAGC